GUGUCAGCCGCCGCGGUAAUACGAACCGUCCAAACGUUAUUCGGAAUCACUGGGCUUAAAGGGUACGUAGGCGGCGCUGUUAGUCGGGUGUGAAAUCCCUCGGCUCAACCGAGGAAUUGCGUCCGAUACUGCAGUGCUUGAGGGAGACAGAGGUAAGCGGAACUGAUGGUGGAGCGGUGAAAUGCGUUGAUAUCAUCAGGAACACCGGUGGCGAAAGCGGCUUACUGGGUCUCUUCUGACGCUGAGGUACGAAAGCUAGGGGAGCGAAGGGGAUUAGAAACCCGGGUAGUCC
rnacentral:rRNA from 1 species